rnacentral:rRNA from 1 species
AAGUCCUACGGGGGGCAGCAGUAGGGAAUCUUCCACAAUGGACGAAAGUCUGAUGGAGCAACGCCGCGUGAGUGAAGAAGGGUUUCGGCUCGUAAAGCUCUGUUGGUAGUGAAGAAAGAUAGAGGUAGUAACUGGCCUUUAUUUGACGGUAAUUACUUAGAAAGUCACGGCUAACUACGUGCCAGCAGCCGCGGUAAUACGUAGGUGGCAAGCGUUGUCCGGAUUUAUUGGGCGUAAAGGGCGUGUAGGCGGGGACGCCAGUCAGAUGUGAAAACCACGGGGUCA